ACACAUGCAAGUCGAACGGAAUCCUUAGGGAUUUAGUGGCGGACGGGUGAGUAACACGUAAGAACCUGCCUCUUGGACGGGGACAACAGUUGGAAACGGCUGCUAAUCCCGGAUAAGCCGAAAGGUAAAAGAUUUAUCGCCAAGAGAGGGGCUUGCGUCUGAUUAGCUAGUUGGUAGGGUAAGAGCCUACCAAGGCGACGAUCAGUAGCUGGUCUGAGAGGAUGAUCAGCCACACUGGGACUGAGACACGGCCCAGACUCCUACGGGAGGCAGCAGUGGGGAAUUUUCCGCAAUGGGCGAAAGCCUGACGGAGCAAGACCGCGUGGGGGAGGAAGGUUCUUGGAUUGUCAACCCCUUUUCUCAGGGAAGAAGAAAGUGACGGUACCUGAGGAAUCAGCAUCGGCUAACUCCGUGCCAGCAGCCGCGGUAAUACGGAGGAUGCAAGCGUUAUCCGGAAUGAUUGGGCGUAAAGAGUCCGUAGGUGGCUGAUCAAGUCUGCUGUUAAAGAGCGAGGCUUAACUUCGUCAAAGCAGUGGAAACUGAAGAGCUAGAGUGUAGUAGGGGCAGAGGGAAUUCCUGGUGUAGCGGUGAAAUGCGUAGAGAUCAGGAAGAACACCGGUGGCGAAAGCGCUCUGCUGGGCUACAACUGACACUGAGGGACGAAAGCUAGGGGAGCGAAUGGGAUUAGAUA
rnacentral:rRNA from 1 species